rnacentral:ncRNA from 1 species
UUCCACACAGUUUUAUUUGGUCUUGUGAAUGAUUAGAGAUCUUGGGGCUGAAAGGAUCUUAAGCUACUCUCAAACUUUAGAUGGAUAAGAAGCCUGGCUAGCUGGAGCAGAGCCAGGUAUGUAAUACAAA